UUCUUACUGCAAUUCACAUGCGUUCAAAUAUUUGGAUAUAUAAAUUUAUCUUCGAUACAUCGAGUUCAAUACAUUGCCAAAGAGAACAUUACAAACCUCCAACCAGAGAAAAUUUCAAUGGCCGAUUUACCAAACCAAAGAUGCUUGAAACCAUGUAAAUAGUAUCAGAAAAUUCGCUCCCACGAAUCUUAUCACAAGAAUUUUUGCGAAUUUUCAAGACGAAAAUGUUCUCUAUAAAUUUCAGCAACUCGUUAAAAGGUCUAUAGUUCAAUGAAAAGGCUUUGUGGGACCAGAAAAUGAAAACUUAUCACAAGGAAGGAUAUGUAUCAUCACCUAAUAAAACAUGAGGAAGUGACGAAUCAGUUUGAGGAAGAUUUGAAUUUUGUGAUAAUAAAUUUUCCAGGGAUUUGUAAACACUUGAUGCAGUGAAGGUUCCUCCAUCGACCAAGACACGUUCAACAUCAGUAUACAUCGUGUCAUGGUCAGGGAAACAUGAUCUUCGGCUGUCGGAAAGCAUGUUUCUGAAAAUGUUAAUUGUUAGUAAAAGGAAGGCUGGUCAAAGGAAUAGAUCUCCAACAAACGCCAUCUGCUUGGAGAGGGAAGUGUACGGUGAAUUUCACCAUUUGAGGAACUCAGAAAUUGGUCAAGAGGACCACAACUGUUUCACGAAUACUCAAGGUUGCUGCCCAAUAUAUUUUAUUAUAUUGCAAAUGCAAUAAGAGAUUAAUUCAUUUACUGUGUAACCAAGUUUCAACUGCAGUAUUUUAUUAUUUAUAAUGAGAUCAGUUUGUACAAAUAUGAAUAAUAAAGUUAGAAAUAAAAUUUUAAAAAGUA